AGCGAACGCUGGCGGCAUGCCUAACACAUGCAAGUCGCACGGGGGGGCUUCGGCCUCCCAGUGGCGGACGGGUGAGGAACGCGUAGGGACCUGUCGAGGGGUGGGGGAUAACCGCGGGAAACUGCGGCUAAUACCGCAUGACGCCGCGGCGUGACAGCCGGGGCCAAAGGCGAAAGCCGCCCGCCGAGGGGCCUGCGUCCGAUUAGCUGGUUGGCGGGGUAGCGGCCCACCAAGGCGUCGAUCGGUAGCUGGUCUGAGAGGGUGAUCAGCCACACCGGGACUGAGACACGGCCCGGACUCCUACGGGAGGGAGCAGUGGGGAAUAUUGGACAGUGGGCGCAAGCAUGAUCCAGCAAGGCCGCGUGGGUGAAGAAGGUCUUCGGAUUGUAAAGCCCUUUCGGCGGGGACGAUGGUGACGGUACCCGCAGAAGAAGCCCCGGCUAACUUCGUG
rnacentral:rRNA from 1 species